CGGUGCUGCAGCUGUCUGGGCUGCUGCGCGCCGCCUCGGUGUCUGGGCAAUCCAUGGGCAAGAGCAAGGGCCAUGAUGACAGAUUAUGGCGAGGAACAGCGCAACGAGCUGGAGGCUCUGGAGUCCAUCUACCCUGACUCCUUCACAGCUUGAUUGCACAUUGAUCCAACCCUCCUAACUAGUCUUCCAAAAUAUAAAUGGACUCUCCUGAUACCACAUUCUCCUUCAGUAGUUCUUCACUUGACAAGGUCCUGCUAAGUAUUAUCAGAAAAUCCACCCAGCUUCACCAUUACUGUGACAUCUGAGGCUGGAGAAAAUGAUGAAACUGUCCAGACUACCCUCAAGUUUACAUACAGUGAAAAAUACCCAGAUGAAGCUCCCCUUUAUGAAAUAUUCUCCCAGGAAAACCUAGAAGAUAAUGAUGUCUCAGACAUUUUAAAAUUACUAGCAUUACAGGCUGAAGAAAAUCUUGGUAUGGUGAUGAUUUUUACUCUAGUGACAGCUGUGCAAGAAAAAUUAAAUGAAAUAGUAGAUCAGAUAAAAACUAGAAGAGAAGAAGAAAAGAAACAAAAAGAAAAAGAAGCAGAAGAAGCUGAAAAGCAAUUAUUCCAUGGUACUCCAGUUACAAUUGAGAAUUUCUUAAAUUGGAAGGCCAAGUUUGAUGCAGAACUCUUGGAAAUUAAAAAGAAAAGGAUGAAAGAAGAAGAACAAGCAGGAAAAAAUAAAUUAAGUGGGAAACAACUAUUUGAAACGGACCAUAAUCUUGACACAUCUGAUAUCCAGUUCUUGGAGGAUGCUGGAAACAACGUGGAGGUAGAUGAGUCUUUGUUCCAAGAAAUGGAUGACUUGGAGCUGGAGGAUGAUGAAGAUGAUCCAGACUAUAAUCCUGCUGACCCAGAGAGUGACUCAGCUGACUAAUGAACUGUCCCCAUCUGCAGAGAGGCUUGACUGCCACAGCAUCUGUGGCUAUGCUCAGAGGGUUUUGUUUUCCUUUCUUUUUUUCUAAGAAAAAAUUAUUUUCAGGAGAAUAUUCUUCUGAUAGCUUUCAUCAUUGAACUUAAUAAACUGACCUUAAAAUUUCAAAAA